rnacentral:snoRNA from 2 species
CCCCUCUCAGGGUCACACCUGGAGAGUUUCCAGUACUCUACCAGUCUGGACUAUGGGAGGGAGAGUCAAGCAGAGGCCUGUCCAUUCAAUUCCUAGCUUGAGCAGUGGCUAGUGAGUGGAAGGCAAUCUGCUAUAAGU